UUUUUUUUUUACUUUUGUAGUGCUGGGGCUGUAACAGGGCCUCAUGUCUGCUAGGCAAGCGCUGUAUCACUGAGCAACAUCCCCAGCCCAUCUGCCUACUUGUUCUCACUGGAACCUGGCUCAACCUGGCUGCCCAUAGGAGCAGAGGCUCCUGGUCUCCUCCUACCUCUUUGCCUCGCUCACUCUGUAGCCCCCUCUCUUGCUCUUCACUAUUCCCCUUCAGUCUCCUCUUCUGAGGCUGUGCGCAUGUCAUCCCUGCCAUUCCAGCAUGCACACCAAGAACCCUAGCAUCGCACCCUCCCAUGGGGCAGGCAGUACAAGGAAAAGAGACCAGGGACUGAUGCUGUUGGUUGUGGACCAUGGGUUCCAGUCUGAACCUUCACCGGGGUAAUGAGGACCUCGUCACUCCCCAAAUUUUAAUCUCUAAUAUUCUGUCUAGUUUUCCUGCUCCCCCAGCCCCUCUGCUUCCCCUGAAUCUUGUCCGUGUUUCUCCAACUCCCCUUAGGAGUGUGGCUUUCCCUGAGAGCUGUGGUCCCACCAGCACUCUGUUUAACCAUUUAUUGUCUCACCAGCCUGACUGGCACCUCUGUCUCCUUCUGUACUGCCUGUCCCUCCUGUCCUGCCUCCUCUAGGAGGAGGAGUCUGCAAGCUUUUUCUGUAAAGGGCAAGAUAGCAAGUAUUUUAGGCCUUGUUGGUCUUCCCUCCUGGUCACAGGUAAAUGAACGAUCCUCUCCUGGGGAGAUAGCUGAAGGGAGAGAGGAUGCAUCCAGGAUGAGGGAACACAGAACAGUGUGGGGCUGAAUCUAAAGGGAAAGGCUAGGAGCCUGAAGAGUAUUUUUUAUUUGUUUAUUUUUUUGGUACUAGGGAUUGAACCCAGGGGUGCUUAACCACUGAGCCACAUCCCCACUCUUUUUUUAUUUUUUUAUUUUGGUAAGUUGUUAGGGACUCACUAAGUUGCUGAGUCUGGUCUUGAACUUGCAAUCCUUAAGAUAGGAGUUUUUCUUUCGCUAAAUGGUCCAUGGAGGGAAUAGCUCUCCACAAUAUCAGGAACUCUGGCCUGUUGGAUUCUUUCACGGUAUCCUUCAUAUCCUCCAUUUCCAAGAUUGCUCAUUGUACAAGAUGGCUGUUUGAAUUCCAGCCACCAACUCUUUACUGCCUGGCCAUGGAAGGAAAAGGUAAAGAGGUGGAUAUGUUCUCCCUGUGGUAGACACCCUCGAUAAUGACGCCCAGUGAUCUCUGCCUCUUGGUGUUCACAUCUUUGUCUAACUCCCUCUCCCUCAGUAUGGCUGGAUGUAUCGAUUCACUUCCAAGGAACAGAAUACAGAAAGUGAGAGCUUGUCAAUGGUCGAGUGCCCCUGGGUUCAAUGUCCCAGUACUGCAAAAAAAAAAAAAAAAAAAGUACAACUUGUUACCUCCAAGACUAAUUCAUAAAAAGAUGGUGAGUUUUGUCUUGGAGGCUUUUCUCACUUUCUCUUGGAUUGCACACUCUGGGGAGUGAAGCAGUCCUGGGCUCUGCCUCAUGAAAGAAUUGGAAAUGAAUCUUUUUUUUUUUUUUUUUAGUACCGGGGAUUAAACCCAGAGGCACUUAACCACUGAGCCACAUCCAGCCCUUUUAAAUGUUUUACUUAGAAAUGGUCUCACUAAGUUGCUUAGGGCCAGCUGAGGCUGGCUUUGAACCCGUGAUCCUCCUUCUCGGCCUCCUGAACUCCAGGAUUACAGGCAGGCGCUACUGCACUCAGCUCAACAUUCUUCAGGGGAGUACCAGGGAUUGAACUCAGGGGCACUUGACCACUGAGCCACAUCUCCAGCUCUAUUUUGUAUUAUAUUUAGAGAGGAUUUCACUGAGUUGCUUAUUGCCUCACUUUUGCUGAGGCUGGUUUUGAACUUGCCAUCUUCCUGCCUCAGCCUCUGGAGCCACUGGGAUUACAGGCGUGCACCACAGCCCCUGGCUCAUCCUUUUUUAAAAAAUAUUUUUUAAUAGUUGGUAGACCUUUAUUUUUAUUUAUUUAUACAUGGUGCUGAGAAUUGAACCCAUGCUGAGAACCUCACACAUGCUAGGCGAGUGCGCUACCUCUGAGCCCUAGCCCCAGCCCCUGGCUCAUCAUUUUUAAAAAACAUUUAAUGAUUUAUUUUGGGGGGUACCAAGGAUUAAAACCCAGAGUGCUUAACCUCUGAUUUUGUGUGUGUGUGGUGCUGGGGACUGAACUCAGGACCUUAGGCAUGCUAAGCAAGUGCUCUAGCUCUGAGCUACAUCUUCAGCCCUAAACCCAGCAUUUUAAAGCAGAGGAUCCUUCUUGACAUGUGGACCCUCCCUCCUUGAGCUCUCGAAUCUUCUCUGGUUCUUCUGCUGAUUUCCUGUUCAAGCCCCUCCAAACUUAAGUCCCAGCUCUGCCCCCAUGAGACUUUCCAUCCCUCCUGAUGUGAGAGAGGUUCUAGGCCAUUUUCCUCCUGCUGUCAAAUUCCAGCUGGAAGGGCAGUAGAGUCAUCCUGUGCUUGGUUGUCCUUGUGGAUUCCCAGGAAGAUGGGGUUGGGGCUCUUGUCCUCCCAAUCGUAGGUGUUUCCCUUUAGUUCCAUCCCUUUCUAUCAGCAGUGGCUAUAGCCAUUUCACUUCUCAGUUACCAAAGGGCAGAUUCACCUCAUCACCAUAGAACUAAAUUUCUCCCAACCCUCCAGUCAUAAAAAAGCAUAAUUUCCUCCUAUUGACAGAAUUUUUCCCUGUUCCCUGAAAAAUGGUAAAGAUUCCCUAGGCUUUUGGUCCCAAAAAGGAAUUUUCUUUCCUUUUCCUCCUGGGCUUUUUUUUUUUUUCAAACUGGGAACUUAACCACUGAGCCACAUCCCAAGCUCAUUUUAAAAAUUUUUACUUAGGGCUGGGGAUGUGGCUCAAGUGGUAGCGUGCUCGCCUGCCAUGCAUGCGGCCCGGGUUCGAUCCUCAGCACCACAUACAAACAAAGAUGUUGUGUCUGUCAAAAAUAAAAUAAGUAAAUAAAUAUUUAAAAAAGGGAAAAAAAAGAAAAUGAUUAGGGGCGGGGGUUGUGGCUCAGCAGUAGAGUGCUCGCCUAGCACGUGCGCGGCCCUGGGUUUGAUCCUUAGCACCACAUAAAAAUAAAUAAAUAAAAUAAAGGUAUUGUGUCCAACUACAACUGAAAAAUAAAUACAAAAAAAAAAAAAGAUUAAAUGCUUUCAUCUUGACUAUGAAGAAUUUCAGCAAAAUACUUACAACUGGGUGGGUAAAUUAUAAACAACAGAAGUUUAUUUGGCUCACUGUUCUGGAGCUUGAGAAGUCCAAGAUCAAGGGGCUGCAUCUAGAGAGGGUCUUCUUGCUGCUUCAUAACAUGGUAAAAUGCAUCACAUGGCAAGAGAAAGAAAAAGAGAAUAAAAGAGAAAAAAGGGGCUUAGCUCCCCUUUUAUAAAUAAACUGCUCCCACAAUAACAACCUUAAUCUAUUUAUGAGGAUGGUGCCCCCAUGACCUAAUCGACUCUGAAAGGUUCCACCUCUCAACUGUCAUAUUGGGGAUUAAGUUUCCAAUGCAUUAAUUUUUAAAUAUUUGGUUAAUUAGUCAGUUAUUGGUACUGGCAAUUGAAUCCAAGACUGGUAUAGUGCUCUACCAUUGAGUUACAUCCCCAGCUCCUUCUUUUACAUUUUUAUUUUUUGAGACUGAGUCUCAUUAAAUUGCCCAGUCUGGCCUCAAACAUUCAAUCCUCCUGCCUCAGCCUUCCAAGUUUCUGAGAUUACAGGCAUGUUCCAACAUGUCCAGCACCAACAUAUGAAUUUUUUUAAAAAAUAUCUUUUUAGUUGUCAGUGGACCUUUAUUUUAUUUAUUAUAUGUGGUGCUGAGAAUUGAACCCAUGUUAGGUAAGCAUUCUACCACUGAGCUAUAAUCCCGGCCCUCCAACACAUGAAUUUUGAGGGACACAUUAAACCCAUAGCUGUGAAUUAUUCUUUUUUUUUAAUAUUUAUUUUUUAGGUGUAGAUACACAAUGCCUUUAUUUUUUUUUUUCUAUGUGGUGCUGAGGAUUGAACCUGGGUCCCACCCAUGCUAGGCGAGUGCUCUACCGCUAAGCCCCAAUCCCAGCCUAGCUGUGAAUUAUUCUGAGCUAGAUCUCUGAUUCCUAAAUCUUCCUCUAAUCUUGGUAGAGUUUGGUCAUUUUGCCAGACUACUGAAACUGAAAAAAGAAAUAGGCAUCUAGUAGGGGGAUGUGAAUGAAUUAUGUUCUGAAGACUUUGCUCUGUGGGGUAGGCAGUGAGAGAGGAAGCAGGGGAGUUUGGAGUUCAGCAUAGAGAAGGCUGGAACUGGUCUUGUGGAGACAGAGAUGACUACAGGAGAACCACUCACACCCAUGUUCUCCACACUGUUGAAGGGCCCAGGAGAUUGGUGACCAUGAAUUCUAAGCUGCAUCAUUUGGCCUCUGCAGUGUACAACUUCCAGGGGGUAUCACUAUCCUCGGUCUACUUUUCUUGGUCUACUACUAGCACCAUUGUCCCCUAUAUUGUGAACUCAACCACACAUCUGGCUAGCUUAUCAACCACCAACUUUAAAAAUGCAACUGCUAAAUAUUCGUCAAAUCCCUCCUCUUGUUUUCUUGCACUUUUUAACAAAUUCCUCUCUGUCCUCUCUUCUCCUCUUCUCUCUAUUCAGCUGAUAGACUGGAUGUGAGGUGUUUGGUAGAAGGAGAUGUUGAGAAAGACUUUCUGCUUUUGGAGACUCCCUAACCCCUUGACCUCUACAGCUCUUCACUCCUCCCUCCUCCAUGAUCAUGCCUUGCGGAUCUUUCCAUGGCCCAUGUUUCACUGUCAGCUCCUUAAGUGAUGUGAUUCUCCAAGGUCCCUGACCAUCUCUAUCCACUCUUGCUGGAAAGCUCAUUAACUUCAAGUCUUAAUUAUAUGUUGUCAUUUUAUAGGUCUUUAUCUCACUUUUUAACUAUUUAUUGUGUUCCACAUCAUUAUUUCUACCUAUUGGAUAUAUUUAUCUAGAUAUUUAUUAGGUAGGUACCUCAAAGGGUGGAGGAUGAGAGAGAGACAUUUUAGUCAAAGGGAGCAAAAUUUCUGUUAGGAGGAAGAUUGUGGAUUGUGGCAAUCUCCUCCUAGCUAUCCUCCUUGAUUUCUGGUCUUCUCCUGCCCAUCCUCCAUGUUACAGCCAUGGGGAUCUUUUUGAUCUUUUUGAAGGGUAAUCUGGCCAUAUUCUUUAUCUCUUUACCUCUAAAGUCUUACUGCUAUUUUCAGGAUAAAAUUCAAGUUCCUUGUUCAAGUACACCAAGCUUUUCAGGAUUAUAUCUCCAUCUCCAGCCAUAUCUAUUUUCCUUUUCCACACAAGCACCCAUUGCCUCAGAUUGACUGACCCCCCUGGCAGUUACUGAAUAUGUCCUUUUCACUGUUACCCCUACUGCCCCUCCACCCCCAAUGCCCUGCCCUGUCACUACUUGUUUAUCUGUUAAGGAAUCCAUGCCCGCCAUAUUGGAUUGGAUAUCCUUUCCCUCCUAUGUGCUCCCACAGCACCACAAGCCCAGCUUGCCUUUCUCACAGCAUGAGUUUCACUGAUCUCACUCCAUUCAUGGUCCCAAAGUUCCAAGAGGACUAGGACAGGAUCUGGUUUGUCUCUGUGUUCCCUGUGCUGGGUGGUCCCUGGCACAGAAUUGUUGAAAAUACUUGGAAGAAAACUAAAUGAUAAUGAAAGCAUCUAUCAGAGUUUCUCUUUUUUUCUUCCUCCUUUUCUUUCCUUUUUUCCUUCCAGUACUAGGAUGGAACCUGGGGGCCCUCUACCACUGAGCUAUAUACCCAACCUUUUUUCAUUUAUUUCGAGGCAGGGUCUCAAUAAAUUUUCCAGGCUGGUCUUGAACUUGAGAUCCUCCUGCUUCAGUCUCCUGAGUCAUUGGGAUUACAGGUGUGUGCCAGUGAGUACAGCUAGGGUUUCUACUACCUAUUUUUCUAAAUACAUUUUUCAUGUUGCUGACAGUGUUAAUUUCCUAUUAACAAGAUUUCAUCAUGUAACUUAUCUGUUUAAAAAGCUGUCUUGAUUCUCUUUCCUCUAGUUUAUCACAGUUUAGCUUCAUCCAUUCCUUUGACUUAGGUUCCUUCCUUCCUUCCUUCCUUCCUUCCUUCCUUCCUUCCUUCCUUCCUUCCUUCCUUCCUCCCUCCCUCCCUCCCUCCCUUCCUUCCUUCCUUCCUUCCUUUUUCUCUUUCUUUCAUACUGGGAAUUAAAUCAAGAGGUACUUUCCCAUUGAGCUACAUCCUCAGUCUUUUUUAUUUUUUAAUUUUGAUACAAGGUCUUAGUAAGUUUCUGAGAGUCUCAUUAAGUUGCUGAGGCUGGCCCAGAACUUGCAAUCCUCCUGCUUCAGCCUCCUGAGUUCCUGGGAUUACAGACAUGUACCUCUACACCUGGUGGCACCAUUUAUAAGUUGAUUGUGCCCACAUCAUCACUGUUUUCAACUCAAAACUCUCUCUCUGCACCCCCAUAUGUAUGUGUGUGUGUGUGUGUAUGCAUGUAUGUAUAUAUGUGUUUGUACAUAUAUACAUACAUACAUACACACCUACAUAAGUAGGUAACAAUAUAUAAUGUUUUACAUAUACAACAAUAUCACAUAUAAUUUUAUCUAAUUAUAUAAUUUCAUAACGUGUAAUUAUUUUAUAACAAUGUUGUAUUGAUACAUACAUUAAAUAAUAAGUAUUAUAACCAACUUGUGAGUCUUGAAGAAAUAUUAAACUAAAA
rnacentral:lncRNA from 1 species